AGAAACUUCGAACUCGAGGCUGAGGGAGGAGUUCAGGAGUUUCGUUGAUUUCACUAACCCAGAAGCUGGUUUCACUCUCCUCUUGUUGUUCAUCGUCCUUUCGGAGCCCAACUCGAUUCUCUGAGAGACGCCAUGAUCGUGCUCUGGACCUCUCUGUUUCUACUUCUCUUCUCAGCUCUCGCCAUCGCUCUCCACAAGCUAUGGUGGACACCGUAUCGCAUCCAGAGGACGAUGGCCUCACAAGGAAUCAGAGGCCCUCCUUACAAGCUCUUCUAUGGAAACACCCGGGAGAUCCUCCAGUUCAAGAAUGAAGCUUCGAGCAGACCCUUGAACCUUUCUCACGACAUCUUCCCUCGCGUCCAGCCUCACAUCUCCACUUGGACUGGAACAUACGGUGAGGUCGCGAAAAUUCGUGUAAUAUUCGUCGUCUCGGAAUUCCAAUCUGUUUAAUUUUACGUGGUUUCUGAUCUGUCGGUGUUGUAGGGGCAAAUUACCUGAGCUGGUAUGGUCUUCUGCCUCGGCUGAUUGUGACAGAGCCUGAGCUGAUCAAAGAGGUGUUGAACAAUAAAGACAAGGCCUUUCCGAAACCUGAAAUGGAUGAGUUUGUCAAGAAGCUUUUGGGCGACGGGCUUGUGACGACGGAAGGCGAGAAAUGGGUGAAGCAGCGUAAGUUGGCGAAUUAUGCUUUCCAUGGGGAUAGCUUGAAGGUACAAUUUGCAUGUUCACCUAGGAAAUGUUAUCCGAUGUUGUCUUUGAUCACCAUAGAUGGAAAAGUAGAGAUAUGAAUGAACACAAUGAAUCACUGAGUAUUUGGAAACACGAUGUUGCUUGAAAAUUGUUGGCCCAUACUGAAGAAUUUAAUUGAUUUCAUCAAAUGUGUGCAAAUGCAGGGUAUGCUUCCAGCAAUGGUAGAUAGCGUCCACAUGAUGCUGGACAGAUGGAAAAAUCUACACGGCGAUGAGAUCGAGGUGUACCAAGAAUUUACAAUAUUGACUUCAGAAAUAAUUUCCAGAACUGCAUUCGGGAGCAGCUAUGUAGAAGGAAGAAAUAUCUUCGAGAUGUUAAGGAAGUUGACCUUGAUUGCAUCCAGAAACACUUUCAGAAUAAGGUUUCCAGGAAUCAGGUACUCUCUCUUCUUUCUAUUUUUCAGUUUAAUUGGUCUGAUAAGCCAAUUAGUUGGUAGUUAGCAGAAUGUCAAACCAAAAGUAUACAGAACUUGUCCGACAAUAUACUUAGGCAUUAGAAUUUCUGUUCAUUCUGGUGAACCGAGUUGAUAUGAGGGGGUUUUGGUUACGUUUUUCAGUAAAUUGUGGAAGACAAACGAUGAACUUGAGUCCGAAAAGCUUGAGAAUGGAAUACGUGAUGCCAUGUUAGAGAUAAUUAGGAAAAGAGAAGAGAAGGUGAAAGCCGGAGAAUUGGAUGAUUUGGGGAAUGAUUUUCUGGGACUGCUUGUGAAGGCUUCUCACAGUGAUGAUGAGAGUCGAAGAAUUACAAUUACUGAUCUUGUUGACGAGUGCAAGACCUUCUACAUUGCUGGGUACGAUACCUCAAAUACCAUGCUUACAUGGACUGUCUUCCUCCUGGCGAUUCACCCAGAAUGGCAAGAUGAAGCAAGAAAGGAAGUGCUCAACGUGUUCGGCAAUCAGGAUCCGGAUCCUGAUGGUAUUGCGAAACUGAAAACUGUAAUUUCUACUCAUCUCAUUUAGUUCUAAAAUGUUCAUUUAUUGUUGUCAUUUCUGCAUGGCGAAAUGAUUUACAUAUUAUGUGCUCUCUUUUCUCUGUAGAUGGGAAUGAUCAUAAACGAGUCUCUGCGAUUAUAUCCUCCAGUUGUUGGUCUCAUUAGGAAAAUUGCUACAAAAACUAGGCUUGGAAAGCUUGUUCUUCCUGCCAACAUGGGCCUAUACAUCCCGAAUUUGAAGCUUCACCACAACCCUCAAAUCUGGGGUGACGAUGCACAGCUUUUCAAGCCGGAGAGAUUCUCUGAAGGGGUUGCUAAAGCCAGCAACAACAAUUUGGCGGCAUUCUUCCCUUUUGGCUUGGGACCUCGAACUUGUGUGGGUUUCAAUUUCGCAACUGCGGAAGCGAAGAUUGCUCUUUCGAUGAUUCUGCAGCGCUAUACUUUCUCUCUCUCCCCUGCAUACGUCCACUCACCUACUCAACUUCUCACGACCAGCCCACAACAUGGACUUCAGGUGAUAUUUCAUGCACUGUAGUGUGGUGAUUUAUGUGCUCGCAGCAAGUUUGUACAUUCAGAAUCAGAAGACAGUUGAACUUGUCAUUGGCUAGCAUAUGCAGUCAUGUAUUUUGGUGCAUCCAGGUUUUUCUGCCCCGCAGUCAUCACUGUGAAUAACUAGGUUCCGAAUGCUGAAAUAAGAUUGCAUGCCAAAAGAUAAAAAAAAAAAAAGCAACAGAUAAUUGGUCGCAAACUGUGUACAACAGAAUAACGUUAUACAUAGAGUUAUCAAUUUGCAAAUCUGUUUUAGAUAGUGAUGUUCAAGGCCUUUGCUGGGUAUUUGUAUACGACCCGUUUUAUUUACUUCUUAAUUUAAUAAACCGAUUUCAUUAAAGUGAGUUUUAGUACUUUUAAGGUUAUUCUAUUAGAGUUCUACGCUAGCACUAGCAUUAUUGUUGCCAAAUUUGAGGAUAGUCUGUACGCCUUCUUGUUUGACUCGUUAUAUUUAUACUAAAGAAUACGUGGUUAGUCUUAUCACGUGGCAUUGUGACAGAGUCUUACGGUCUUACCUAAUAAUUGUCCUAAAUUAAGAGUUUACUUGCUAAACAUUGCGGAUGAUGCGCGGAAUACAGAAAGUACUUUCAUUUUUAUUUUAUUUUUUACAUAAAGCUGUAAGAUAUUUGAAUAAUUUAUGGAACACCCGGCAUAAGUGCAAAAUGGAGUUAGCUAAAGCCUUUCCAAAUUCCAAACAUUCAUUAUUCAAGAGAAGUAAUGGACCCAGCAAUAUGAAUUUUCCCAAGCAAUAAACCACUCUAUAUAACGUCAUCACCAACAACAAAAGCUAACCCCCUUUUGUCCCUUUGCUGAGACUUAAGUUGCUAUAAUGGACCCAGCAAUAUGAAGUAAUGCUUUAACACCUUACGAGACGAUCCGAUUUUCAUGAAUCGGUGGUUCGAGAGUGGCUAAUUAUUUAAUUGAUGUAUAAAAAGAAGUCUAGGUCUAGAUGGAACCUCGUACACAUUAGGGAUGCAUAAAAUUACAAAAGAUGCACCAUUCAUAUGAGAAUUUAACAAAUCUUCUCUCAUCUGGAUUCUUGUGUCACAGCCUUGGGUUGCCGUGAUUAAAGGACUUGUUGGAUAGAUGAAGACUACCCAAGAUAGCCUAGGGUUUUCCCCUUGAGUUUCUGGAAUGUUUUUAGGGAUGGGCGAGAUGGUAAUUGCGUUGAGCUCUAGAAUUCUCUAGGCAUAAAUGCCGAUAGUUGGUAGGUUGAGAUACGAUCUUGUCCACUAGAUCGAAAAUCUAUCAACGGUUAUAACGGGAGGGCCUCUAGUAUAAGAAGGGUGCUCCCCACUCAUUGUAUUCAUCCAAAUAUUCAAUGAUAGAGUUUUGUUUUUUUAAGAAAUUCUCUCUCUAGAACUUCUUUAUGAUUUGGAUAAGAGAGUGAGCAAGAAUUUCUUUACGAUUUGGAUAAGUGAGUGAGCAAGGUCCAUUAUUAUAUAUCUCAUCAUAAAUUAAUAUUUAUCACUUGUCGCUAGGAAACGUGAGGCCCAAAUUAACCCACCAACUGGAGGAAAAAAAUUCAAAUUGCUCUUUUUUCUUCGAUCUCUUGAUUGAAAAAUAUGGACAAACCCCUCUACAAAAAUAAUAACGCAAUUAUUUCCUAACUCAAUUUCAACUUUCCUAAUUCGACAAAGCUUAGAUUGAUAAUAUUUCCUAUUUUUAUGAUAGCCUACAUGCAUGACACGUCGAGUCCAUAGUUUUUGGUGAGUUUCCUGGCAUCUUCGUCCACGCCGACUCCAACAAAAGUGUACUUCACGUUGGCGAGGAACACAAACAGUGACGUGGGAAUGUACAUCGCGUGAAGGGGUUGGAAGAUGAGGCACUUACGACUGAUGCAGAGCUGGAGGAUGGCAACUCGAGGAUUGUUAUUGGGCUCGGAGUUUGGGCACCACUAGGUAUCGAGGCUGACAAUUAGCCGACUGAGCCUACGAUGGUGAAAGCGCUCAAUCUUCUGAAUCCAACGGCUAAUGACGUUAGGCUGGUCAGCGUCCCAUGUUAAGUGAUUGCCUACGUUGAGUUAAAUUAGGAAAUAUUAUCAAAUGUCAAGUCAGGAAAGUCGAAUUAGGGAAGAAGAAAAUCUGAAUUAGGAAAGUUAGAAUUAGGAAAUAUUCGCAUUAUUAUAUUGUUAAACUGUUACUAUUUCAUCGGGAGUAAGUCAAAAGGUUUUGCUAUUAUUUGCUUGGAAGAGCGAACGCAGCAUUCUCCAUCCUUAUUCAUUUGUUCUGCUCGGCGCCCCUUCGAUGGACUUCUGUGUCCUGUUCUGGAUUUUGUUUCUUGCCUCCGAUUCCUCCCAUGAUCUCUCCUCAUCCUCGUCUUCCUUCAUCGCAGAGGUCUGACUUUGGGGGUUUCAAGGCGAGUCGAAAGCGAUGCCAAGAGAUUUGUGAUUUCCUGGAGCAAGCUCCCGUUCAUGGCGAGAGUGGAAGUGAAGAGAAUUGUUGUUCUGUUGGCCCUCGCCGACCCUCGCAUGAGCUUGUUCCCCGACCAUGCCGACCAUGCCGACCAUGCGAGACACUUGGUGUCACUGCCGCCCGGACAAAAGAUCUACCGCCGUCCACUGAGUAUCAAAUUCACUCUUCCUUUCUUAUUUUUAUUUUUCCUUUCCUUUUCUUUUUCAAUAUUUCCUUUCAGUUUUCCAUUUAAUUUCUUUUUUUAUUUUUUUUCCUAAAAUGACUGACCACAUCAGCACCCCCUCUCUUAUGAAACUAAUUUAAAAAAAAAAAACACACACACACAUGUAAGUUUUUUCAUAGUCAAAUUUAAUAGAAUUAGUGGAAUGACUUUAUUGUACAAAUUUGACAAGUUUUAGAAUUAAAUUGCAACUUUUACAAUACGCUCCCCGAGAUGCAACAAUAGUCAAUCGAACAGUAAUAGGACAUUUCAUUUCAUUUUAUGAAUUCUCCCAAUGCCAAAGAUGCUUAAAUCCUUUUGAGUUUUUUUUUUUUUCCGGUUAUAUCAUGAAUUUCAUUUUAUUCUAUGAAUUUUGUGCAACUUUCUUAUUUCAAUCAAAGCGAUGCAUAUUCUUAUAAAUUAUGCAUAUUUAACAUGUUCACAUCUUUUAUGUUAUGACCUCGAUAUGUGGUUAAUAGAUUUGUGGUGAGGAAAUAAAAUUGCACCGACAAGACAAUCCUAAGUUCAAUUCAGGUGGUCAAUUUAUCUUAACAUGGACGUAUAGUUUGCAUGAGAAAAAUUAACCGAGUCGAUGCUUCAAAAGAAAUGAAACAGUACCAAUACAAUUUUUUUUUUCUUUUUUUGUAGAAUUUUGUUCACCACGUCUCUCGUAAGUAACUUUGAUAGGAUCGGUCAACAUCAUGAUCCAAAUGUGCAUAAACAAAUGGAAUGUAAAAUUCAACAAUGAUUUUUUUUUUUAAUAUAUUGACAAUUGGAGAAGCAUGCCAUAUUCAAAUUCCAAUGCUCGACCGGUAAAAGAGAAAUUCUGAAAUUAACAAUUGAGAAAUUGAAGAAAGUCUGAAUAUUCUCUCUCUCUCUCUCUCUCUCUCUCUCUCUCUCUCUCUCUCUCUCUCUCACAUGAAAUACCAGAAACCGAGAGGCGAGCAACUUGAGGAAUCUUCGCCCUCCUUUUUUGCUGCCAAAAACUUGGGUGUUUUCUCUUCUUCUGUCGAUUAUCCGAUUCUGAUUUGCUCUUACCAUCUCUAGAUCGUCUUGUCCUAAUCUCUUCAUAUGGAUCCACAUAAAGACAUGCUUUUAAAGUGGUUGCAAGCCAUUAAAACGAAAAACAGAAAAAUAAUGACUGCAAUGGUAAACAUGCAUCAAGAUCACAUGGGGUAAAAUCGAUGGCAUGGCUUCCUUACAAGAUAAAGUAAAGGCCACAAGUUUGAGAGUGGAACCGUAGGCUAACUCAAUUGUGUAUUAGUGUGGGCUUCGAAUGACUUUGGUUUUACUUGUUUAGGUAUCGGUUGCAUCUUGCGUUUGUUUUGCCCAACAUUGGACACAUCAAAUUUUAAAAGUACGCGGAUGUGUACAUUAGAAAGCAUUUGAAGCUAUGAGCUUUCAUGAUUCUUUCAAAUUACAACAAUUUUUUUCCCUUUCACCUUCCAGUGGUACAUUUUUAAGGUAAGUAAAAUAAAAGCAGGCCUUUACCUUCCACAACAACUCAGGCAUGCCAAGUGCAGGCUGUGCUAUUGCUAAUUCAAAUAUGGCCCUAGCUCGGUCGGUUUCACCCAAGGAUAUCUCCGAUUCAGCAUACAUGCUCCAAGCUUAACAGUUCUCUGGUGACCACUCCAAGUAUAUUUUCAUAUAGUUUGCGGCAUCGAUCUAUGUUGCCAAGUUGCAGCUCUAUCUCGAUGUCUUUUUAACAUAUCUGUUAAUAACCAAGCAAAAAACUUGUUUAGAACAAGUUAGGGAGGAAAAAUUAAACGACAAGAAUGAAAAGAGACCGACUUAGAGACUAUUCUCUCUCAGUAAAAACUUUAUCCAAUCCAUAUUACCUUAUCUUUAGGAGCUUUGCCGACUGCAUUGCCUAGGAUCUGCCUUGCACCUGUAAGAUUCAUUAUCUCAAAUUGAACCGCUAAGAGCCAAACUUAGGCAAAUGAGAAUUUCUGGUGAGGAAUCAGCUUGCGAAACUCUUUGCGAGGAUUCAAAAUUGAAUGAGAAAGUUUCACCAUGACUAAGAUCUAAGUAGCACCGACAUGCGACAUGCGACAUGUGACACACGACACAUGACAUAACAAGUUGACACAUUAUUUCUCAAAAAACAAAGAAUUCCGAUAUGUUAGGACAUGUUAUAUAUUAAAUGUAUCUUUUUAUAUAUACAUAAUACAUUAUCAUUUUAUAAUUAUUUCAAUCAAACUAAUUUGAUUAAAACAAAUACAAAAACAAAUAAAUUUACACUAAAAACAUUAAUCCACAAUUUAUUAAUAUCACUCACUGUUUCAAUUUGAUAAAUUCAACUCUAUUCCAAUAAUCCAUAAAAUUUGAAUACGUGUCGUAAGAGCGAGUAUUUCUCCCGAUACGUCGCUUGGGUUUCUAAUCGACCCACUCCAAAUUGAUUAGUGGCGAAUCCAUUUUAAAAUUAAUUUAUAGGUUAAAAACUUAAACUAUUAAAGUCGUGAAUUGGUGGACUUGGGAGAGUCCGGGCUUAAUAAAUUCAGCCGAGCCAUUAGCCUCCUUAGGCGCUCGUACCCGAUAGCGGGCGCCGAGAAAAAAGGAGGUCGCGACAAGUGUCGAGAAAGUUAAUCAGGUAUCCGAUUUUCCGACACUUAUUGACCGAGUGUCGAAGAGUGUAGGAGCUUUUCGAGAGUAUCGAUACUUUGUAUACUAAGACUAGUCUUUAAUGCUGGAAAGAGAGGGAACAAAAAGAUGCGAUGAAUACUUGGGGGUACAUGCAUUCAACCCCUCAUAAUCAUUACAUCAUAUCUAUAUAGAUUUAAGCCAAAAGUGGGAUUCGUCUCGCAUUUAGUAGCUUCCAAGAAAUAUUCUAAAAUGAAUCAUAUAUAUUGUGUCCAGUUGGGGCUGAAAACGCAAAUCAAUUUAAGGACCGCAUUUGUGAAGAAAUGCAUCUAAUCCAUCGCUCUCCCUCUCAAUUACGCAUUAACGGUCACCCUCACUCUUCACCGACGCAUGCUCAUCCAUAUUCCAAGUCCGGCUACAACUGUCUCCACAAAUAAAAGCUUCCAACUCCUAUAUAUUCGAAUUGAAACAUGGGUUUCUUCUAUCUGUAUGCACGUGAAUUGGUUUGAGAACAAUUCUAAUGUCUAUCUUGCAACAAAGCAACAAAGACUAAAAUCACUCUAAAUGCAACGUAGCGCGUGUGCAUAAUCAAGUUAAAUAAUUGAAAGAUGUAUCAGCUAGGACCAGUCUCACGUUGAGUUGACAGCUUAUAUUUAUCGUAAAAAAGACAAUGCUGUGACACACAAAACACAUCUGGCAAGAAAAAUAAAUCGAGCCAACCAAAAAUGAAAAGAAAAAGAAAAAGAAAAAGGGCAUAAACUAUUUCCCCAAGAACUACAACUGCACAUCAAAACACAUGAAAGUACCGCUAAAAAUCUUAAUCCUGCAAAGACGACAUCUGCCCAAACUUAAAUCCCGGACCAAAACUUUCAACCAUGGUAAAGCCUCCACAAACACAAUCUCCAACCACUAAGCAAGUCAUGAAGCUCAGGAGAAGAGAAUAUGACACAUCAUCAGUUUAGCCAAUACAAGCCCCCCUAAGUAGCAUUAAAUCUCCCUAGACAUCCAUAGGGUAGCAUAAUUUGACGAACCACUUCAUCAUUCCUUAACAUAUACGGGAAAGUUAUUAUAAGCCAACAGAUAAUCACCCUGAUCAUUUUUGAGAACACAAACAGGAAGGAUGCGAGAUGGAUCCCAUCCUAUUUGAAAAUGUGAAAAAUGCAACUUCCACGACACAAGGACAUACAUACUGUUGACACCUUAAUUCAGACUCUUCAUGUUGAGUCUGACUGGAUUUGUUUUGCAUUGAAUCUUGAAAUUUGACAUUCAUUGAUUCCUCCACUGAUUGACUCUUCUUGUUAUAGACUCUGUAGGCUUUGCUUGAUGUAGAAUAUCCAAGGAAGAUGCUUUCAUCUGAUCUUUCUUCAAACUUACCAACUCGAUCUUUUGCAUUUUUCAAUAUAAAGCAUUUGCAACCAAACAUAUGAAAGUACGAAACAAUAGGCUUCUUACCUUUGAAUAACUCAUAAGGGGCUUUAGAAUAGGUCUUAAAAAGACUCUAUUUAUGAUAUAGCACGCUGUUGAAACAGCUUUAGCCCAAAAUCGUGAAGAAAUCUUACUUUCAAUUAAAAGAGUUCUAGCCAUUUCUUGAAGAUAUCUAUUCUUUCUUUCCACAACUCCAUUUUGCUGAGGAGUGUAUGGAGAGGAGAACACAUGCUUAAAGCCAGAUUCAUCACAAAAUUUUGUAAAAUCUUGAUUUUCAAAUUCACCUCCAUGGUCUGUUAUUAUACUUGAAAUAACAUAUCAUUUUUCAUUUUGAAUCUUUUUAGCAAAAUUUUCAAAAUACAAGAAGGUUUCAGACUUACUUGCAAGGAAAUAUACCCAAGUAAAUCGGGAGUAAUCGUCCACAAUUACUAGGCAAUAUUUCUUACCUCCAAUGCUUUGGGUUCUGGUUGGUCCGAAGAGAUCCAUAUGCAGUAGCUGUAGUACAUGAUUAGUAGAGACAUGAUUUAUUGGCUUAAAUGAAUUUCUUACCUGCUUUCCCAAUAUAUAUGGAGUGCAUAGAUCAGACUUUUGGUAUGAUAAAUUGGGUAGCCCACGAACAAGCUGCCUUGAUGAGAUUUUGGCUAACUGCUUCAUAUUGAUGUGACCAAGCUUUCUGUGCCACAAGCUUGCUUCGUCUUGUAUUGAAAUUAAGCAUUGCGAUUCAUCCGGUUUCACAUCCAAGAGAUAGAUAUUUCCAUGUUUUCGACCCAUGAAAGACUAAGUAGAGUCUUUACUGGUUCCAGAACAUAUUCCUUCUUGAAAGAAUAUCUUAAAACCAGUAUCACAUAGUUGGCUGAUGUUGAGAAUAUUGUAAUUGAGUCAUUAUACUAGGGAAACAUUACUUAUUGUGAGAUUUCCAAUUUUCACAGUUCCAAAUCCCACAAUUCUUUCUUUGUUGUUUCCUCCAAAUGAGACUUUUCCACCAUUUACUUGAACGAGCUUUAUAAAGCAAUUUGAGUCUCCUGUCAUAUGUCUUGAGCAUCCACUGUCCAGAUACCACUUUACCUUUUAUUUUUAUUUUUAUGGAGACCUGCAUUUAAAAGAGAGUCUCAAGCUUUAUUUGAUACCCAUAUUUUCUUGGGUCCAUUGGAUAAACAGUAUUAGCCCAUGUUUUCUUAACAGGUUUCCAAACCAUUGGACACUUUUUUCAAAGUGAUUCGGGCUAUUGCACUUUGAACACCUGAGGGCAUUUCGACCUACAGACUUUUACAAAAACCUUCUUGAAAUGAUUUUUGUAGGCCUCUCUUGAGGGUCUUUGCUUAAUUCUUUCUUUUACUUUAGGAAAAUCAAUCAAGGGAAUAGUUUCCGUUGUCAUACCCAAACCAGACUUAUUGAAAUAAGGUCUUUGAGCUGAAAGAAUUUUUUCAAGUUUCUCGGACCCUAUUGAAAUUUUCUUUGAAAGAUUUGAUGAGUCAAUUUUUAAAAUAGCAUUUUCUUUCAAAAUAUUUUCUUCACUUUCUUUAAGAGUAGAAACAUUCAUGUCUAAACAUUUAACUCUUUCUUUCAAAACGUUUUCCUGUUGUUUUAGAACAGAGUUUUCCUUUUUAAGUUCGGAAAUCCUUUUAAGAGAAGUCUUAAGACUAAAACACAGCUCAUCAAUAUACUUAGAAACCUUGACAGGAAUUUUAAAAUUACUCACCUCAAAUUCACCGUCUAAGUCUGAUCCAGAGUUUGAGUCUGAGUCUGAUUGCACCAUCAGACACAAAUUGGCAUAUUCAUCAUCACUUUCUUCACACUCUGUAUCACUCCAGGUUUCGGCUUUGAGAGCCUUUCGAGACUUUUCAGCUUUUUCUUUCUUCUUCUUUAGAAGAGGACAGUUGGGUCUGAUGUGUCCAUUUUUCUUACAUUCAAAGCAAAUUACAUCUUUGUUUGAUUCAUCAUCAUCAACAGACUUGGUCUGUUGUCUUUGAAAGCUUUGUUUCUUUGAGUUGAAUCUUCUUCCUUUUCUAUUCAGCUUUCUGAAUCUUCUUAUCAUGAGAGCAAGCUCCUCAUCGUCCAUAUCAUCUUCAGAAUCUGUAACAUCAUAAUCAUCAUUUGAUUUUAGUGCAAUAGAUUUCUUACCUUUUGGAUCUUCGUCUUCGUUAAUUCGUUCCACUUCAUAAGACUGAAGAGUUCCAACCAGCUUGUCGACAGAUAAUGGCAUGAUUCUUUGCGUCUCUCUUAUUGAAGUCUUUAUGUGAUUCCAAUCCUUGGAGAGUCCACGCAGUAGCUUGUUUACCUUCAUGGGAUCAGAAAUUGGUUGUCCUUGAUUUUCAAGACCAUUUACAAUUUCUGUAAAACGGCUAAACAUGUCAGUUAUAGAUUCUCCAGGUCUCAUUUUGAAGGUUUCAUAUUGACCGAGAAGGAUGUUGAUUCUGGUCUCUUUCACUCGAUCAGUUCCUUCAUAGGUGAUAUGUAACCUAUCCCAGACUUCUUUUGCUAUAACACAAGAAGAUAUUUUGUUAUAUUCAGUAGGUGACAAGGCACAAUAUAAAGAAUAUAUAGCUUUUGCAUCAAGAGUUUGUCUCUUGAUUAUCUCUUCCUAAGACAUUCCGCUGGUCUCAACAGUUUCUUUCCCUCUUUCUGAGAUAGAUGCAACUUUAGGAGUGAUUCCUUUUUCUACAACGUCCCAUUCCAGAGGAUCCUUUGAUUGAAGAAAUGCUUUCAUUUUGUUUUUCCAGAUGUUGUAGUCCUUUCCAUCAAAGUAAGGAGGUCUGGUAUUGCUUUGCCCUUCCACCAGCCUUGGAGCUAACAUACUAGCCAUGGAUCUUUUACUCUGAAGUAAAAUACUUCAAAUAAAGUGAGUACAUUUGCUCUGAUACUAAUUGAUAUGGCUAGUAUAAGUACCUAGAGAGGGGUGAAUAGGUAUAAAGUGUAAUUUCUUAUGAUAAUCGCACAAUACUAGACAGUUGAUAGAAAUGAGACAAUUUUUCUCGUCAAUAAACAAACAACGAACAAAAUAAGACUGAGAGUAGGGAAGAGAAAAUUGAACACGAGGUUUAUAGUGGUUCGGCUUAUUUCAAGCCUACGUCCACUCUUCUGCACUGACAGCCCACUGGUUGGAUUCCACUAUGAACAAAGAGAUAUUACAGUACUGUUCUUCAUUGAUUUCUCGGUGUAGAAGAUCUACCACACUCCCUCAAGGUAUCACUAAGUAUAGACUCUCUUUGCGUGUACAGUUUCGCUCAAUAUGAAUCGACUAAUAAUCAAGGAGCUUCAGACUCUGGAAUUUCUCUAUCGAGCACACACUAGAACAACUGGAACGUCUUCCUUUUAUACUCCUUUAUGCCAUCAUACCCGUUGGCACUUACCAAAGGAAUUCUUCCAAUCUUCCCAUUGGACAGAAUCAAUUACGAAGAUUAUUCGAGCUAUUAAAGGAACAUGUCAAUAGCCCAUCAAUCCUGUUCGCCCAUACAAUUAGGAUCUUGGUUUCCAAGAAUAGAACCUUCCAAGAAUAUUUUGUCAAUCAUCGGAUCUUCAAAUGAUCUUGAUUUCGAAUAAAUAAUCCGUUAUAUCAAAUCCAGUCAAGAGAUCUUCUCCAGUCGAUAAGACCAAAUCCUUAACUAAACACUUUAGCUCUGGAUCGCCUUCGUCGCUGGUUUAGAAACUGUCAAUGAGAAUAGUCUUGAGUCUUGAGUCUUGUGUGCUGAGUCUGGUGAUCUGAAAGUCUUCAGACUCUAAGUACAAGGGUCUGCACAGCUUCCAGACUAGACUGAUAGAAACGUUUUGUCAGCUUCAAAACACUCUAGAGAGAUUUCUCCAACACAAUUAUAUCGCUCAUCAUUUGUCAUGGUGUUCUAGUUCGUUGGUGAGAAUGUUGGCCGUGGCAACUUUGAGGCAGAAGAAUUUUGGAAUUCGACAAAGUGGAGGAUCCAUCAGUGUCUAAUGCAUCUCAAGAAUGUCGAGAUUGUUGAUCCCGGUGCCAAUUGGCUGGCGUGGGAACCCGUUCUUUCCAUGCUCAAGUUUCUCCUCCCGAAGGCACCCUCGCUGGACAACAUAGAGAUCAAUAGUAACGAUUCCAGAGUGUUCGAUGCGGUUAAUCCGUGGGUGCUGCUCGAAGUGGCUCGGAUAAUUCUAUCACACCCAGAUCGUUCUCCUAGUUUGAAAAUCAUUCUUAAUUAUCCCUCCCAAGCAUGCCCUUCUGCAAGCGUGCUUAAAUGUGAUUUUUACAUCAGCCCAGAUGUUGUCUUCUCGUGAUUGCACUAUUACUUUAAGCAACAUGUUCAUUAAGGAGAAAUUGGACAGAACUGGAAUUGGAAUUGGAAUGGAUCUUUAGGAUUUGUGAGAGGAGAGAGGCUGAUGAGGGUAACAUGUGAUACAGUUUGUUUUUUUACAAUAUUCUUUUUGAUGUAUUAUUUAUGGGUAGAUGAUAGAUAUAAGAAAACAUUAUAUACAUAAAAGAAAAUGAAAGUGUUUUUUUUUACAAGUUCCUCUUUCUUCUAUGCCCAAUUUCUUUAGUCGAUUUCGUUUUACUUUUCCAAAAAAUGAAAGUGUUAGUCGGUCACUUUGGUUGACAUAUAAUAGAACUGGCCUAACGUUUGUUCGUCUUAUGACAUGCACAAUACGUAAGAGUUUCCCUUCUAAUAUAGGAUGAUGAUUAACGGUGAUGCCGUGUCGUCACGUUCAUAUGAAUGGCGCACUUUCAAAAUAAUUUUAAGUAGUAGAUGCAGUAAAGUCAUGAGGAAUAAUAUAAUAUAGAAACCAAUGAGAAACAAAAAAGGGACUAUUUCGUCAAUCAAAAGAAAACAACAACAAGCCGCAUGAACAUCACAAGGCCUCGGCGACCAAAACCGGCACAAAACAUCAAUGAUUUGAGCAAGAAUUUUACAGGUAAAAAAUUUAUGUAAAAUGAAGGAGGAGAUGCGUUACGUCAUAGUGGUAACUCUCUUUGUCGGCUCCUUUAACAAGGAAAUGGUUCGCUCGAACCACCAACUUUUUGCCCACUGUUCCGAAGUUCGGCCUCUGCGUAAAUUUCAUCCCUUCGAUGAAAGGGGCUGCCGUGAAGCAGACACCGUAUUAGACAAAGUCUUUGGUGUAAAUGAGAGGACCUCAGCUACAGGAACGGAGGAACCUCCAUAGAGGAAAGAGAUUUGGAGAAAUGUGGGGGAGUACGUACGUAUCAGAAGAUAUCAAAUCGGUCACCGUUCAGAGAGAGAGAGAGAGCGCAUUAUGCUUGCAACGCAACAGUCGACAAAGCAGCAUCUACAGUACACAACUCCGACUCUGCACACAAAGCACACGCACACAAAGACGCAGGACGAGAGACAGAUUGUUGAUGAACAGACAAAAGCAUGCAGAGAGGAUGAUAGAUCAGAGAUUCAUGAGAAAACGCUGGUGGAACACAGAGAGACNNNNNNNNNNNNNNNNNNNNNNNNNNNNNNNNNNNNNNNNNNNNNNNNNNNNNNNNNNNNNNNNNNNNNNNNNNNNNNNNNNNNNNNNNNNNNNNNNNNNNNNNNNNNNNNNNNNNNNNNNNNNNNNNNNNNNNNNNNNNNNNNNNNNNNNNNNNNNNNNNNNNNNNNNNNNNNNNNNNNNNNNNNNNNNNNNNNNNNNNNNNNNNNNNNNNNNNNNNNNNNNNNNNNNNNNNNNNNNNNNNNNNNNNNNNNNNNNNNNNNNNNNNNNNNNNNNNNNNNNNNNNNNNNNNNNNNNNNNNNNNNNNNNNNNNNNNNNNNNNNNNAAAUGAUCUCAUCAUCCUUCUGCGAGUAUUUAUGGUGAACAUUAAAGAAGCUUUGAAGAGACGCCGAGUCAAAAAGACCUUCGUCUUUUGACCAGAAAGAAAAACAGACCCUGCUCUAGGCUACUACUAGAUACUUGCUUAACUCGAUUACUGGUCCCCACUGAAAAAGAAAAGGGAUAAUAAUACAUACAGAUAAUGAAUUUUCUACCAUCUACAUCUAUGAUCUCAUAAUGAAUUAUAUAUAUAUUCAAUUUAAUUUAUAAAUUAUAUAAAAAAUUUAGAGAUCACAAAAAAUAUUAAAAGGUUAAGAAUGGUGUUGCAUAUUGAGUUAGAAUUCAUUAUUCCCAAAAUUUCUAAUCUUUUGCUAAAAUAAGGUGCCGUGAAAAAUAAAAAUUAAUUUCAGUCGGUGGUCCACCAUCCCCGGCAAAAAGGUCACCGCCUGCUUAAAGCCGAGUCAUUUGCCAAGUAAAAGAAUCUCGAAUCUCUCUUAAAGCACAUAAUAGCAGCGACGAAAACGGGCAACCUUUUCUUAUCGAUGUAAAAUUCCAGAACUCAAACACAACUCAAAAAGAAACAAAAGGACAAUCUUGAUUAAUCAUCACCCAUUCUCUGUUAUUAAGGGUGCGUUUGUUUUGCAGAAUACAUUUUCAGGGAAAAUGUUUUCCUCAUUUUUUAGCGUUUGUGUCGCUCAGAAAAAUGAGUCAACAGAAAACGUUUUUUUAAUAAACGGAAUACGUUUUCCUAACAAAACUUAAAUUCAGGAAAAUGAUUUCCCUUUGAAAGAAUCGGAAAACAUUUUCUGAAUCUAACAAAGUUUAGAUUUGAUGCUUGGUUUACAAUAAUUAUUCUUAUUAAAAUAUAUUUAAAAAAAACUGAAUUUGAAUUUUUUAUUUUUUAAAAAAAUAAAAAAUUUGAAUUUGCUUAUUUUUUUUCCUUCCUUUUUCUUUUUGCUUCUUCUUCACCUGUCACUAGCCACAAGGACAGCUAGUGAGCUCUGGUCUCACAAAAUCGAGCGAUCUCAUGGCUUUCGACAACAAGGCUUAAGCUUGCCCGAGGUCGAUGAGCCUCAAGCCUUGCUAAAUCAGGUGAGCUAGUGGCCUCCGGCGAUGAGGCUCAAGCCUCGCCAGAUUGGGUGAGCUUGCAACCUCUAGCGGCCAGCUGGCAAGCUCGCCGCCUCUAGCGACAGUUGGAGCUCACCCCUUGUAAGCUAGCCAGUAAAAAAAAUUAAAUUUUUUUCCUAUGAUGAAGUGUGAAAUUAUUUUUUAAUGGGAUCCAAAUGGCAGAAAACAUUUUCAAUUAUACAUUACCAAACAAAAGAAAACAAACCGUAUUCUUAGAAAAUGUUUUCCCGGAAAACAUUUUCCUUUAUCAUUGAAUUUUCCAUGAAACAAACGAACCCUAAAAGUAUGGUAGUACCUGCAACAACACCAGGAUAGAAAUGCAUAAUGGAGAUAGGGAUGGGACGCUUGUGCUGGUCUCGAUGAAGCUCUCGCCGAAGAAGAAAACAGAAAAUAAAAAAGGAAAUAAUAAACAAAUAGAAAUAGAAAACAAAAUCGAAGAGAACAAUAAAUAAAUAAAUAUAUAUUUUUUUUUAAAGGAGGCCGGGCGGGGAGUUAAAAGACCGGGCUAGGUGGAGUUCAUGGGGCUAAAAGUUUCUGAGUUAAGUGAAAUAGGUUUAGAUUUGGACAUUUUCGGACAGGGCCCAAGGGGCGGUCCAAAUUUCAGACCUGCACAUUCUGACGGGGUUCCCCGACCCGAUCCGAGUCCUCAUUUUUCAAAAUUAAAAAAAUUAAAAUUAAAAUUCGGAAAAAUUAAAAUUCACAGUUUAGGUUUCGAUUAACAUUUUAAAAAAUUUGAAAAUCUUUGGAUAAAAAACUGAACUCAAAAUUGAACAAGCUCUAAGGGCUUUAUAAAAGGAUUUAAGGAUUUUUGGAUGUUCUUAGAGACAAUUAUUAGAAUGCUAUUUGUGCAUUCUGAUUUCGAUUUUGCUUGAUUGUGCACUUUUAAUAUAUUGUUAUUUUUCUUUUUCAAUAUGGUUAGGAUAAAUCUUGGAUCUCAAUGAAAGGAUUGCAUGGACAUGAUAAAAACCUUUGGACUCAUAAUUGGAAAAAAGGCUACAUGAAUACUUUAGUUGACAAAUAAUCAAAUUUAAGUAUCGAAAUGAUAAUAGUUGAUAACUAGUGUAAUCAAGUUUACAAUACUGGAAUCUUUGGUUCGGCAAGAAUUGAGACGUCGCUCCCAUGUCUCAAUUGGUUUUUUUGCUGAUCUCAAAUGACUAGUGGUCAUUCCUAAAAAUACUUAAAUUGUUAAGAAUAUAAAAGACAUCCUAUGCCACGUGAGAUAUGGGCUGAGAGAGCCCGUGCUCUUGACUAAUGAAUCUUUUGAUGGUUGAAAAGAUAAUGUAUUCAAACUGUCUUUUCAAUGAUUAUUAGAAUGGUCUCUUGAGCAAAUAACUCUAGAACAAAUGGUUUGUUGGAAUUUCCAAUUAUGGGUCUAAAAUCAUUUUUUGUUAGGUAAUUUUUCAAAGUUACCAUUACAUUUUGAAACAUUGAAUUGAAAUUACAUCGUGUGCCUAAAGCUCUCAAAAUGGAAGAGUUUUUCGAAAGCAGAAUCUUGUUUUAAUGCAUAAAAUUUUUAGAAUUGAAGUCACAGCUUUGAGGGAAAAUUCCUCGAACUUUGAUAGGUAGAACUUAUUUGGUUUGUAAAAUCCUAUGGGCAUUCAAUUGACAGAUCACAUAGGAAGCUCUCAAAAUGUUUUCUCUUAAGAGUGAAACAGCAGCAAAACACUUAACCCUGGUAAGCAGGGACUCGAGGGCAAAGUAUUGAUGCCCCGCUUUCAAUAUAAAAGAGCCCGUUGAGAGAUCAAUUUUUCAUUAGUAUAUUGACAUUUGUCUUUCUUUCCCAAGUUACUCGUGACGGCUUAUCCCUAGGAACCUCAUGCCAUGGAAGGAAAUGGACAUUUCUCUGAAGCCAAGAUAGAAAAUUCGGGUCCUCUACAUCUGUCGAUCUUUCAUAUUCCUUUCUGGAUAGUAUUUUGUCCCCAAGUUAUGACAUUCUGCACCUGAAUUUGGUCAGCUAGAGAGGUUUGACACUUGCACGGAGGCAAAUGAAGUCAUCAUUAGAAACGAGAAUUCCAAACCCGAAAUCCCGAAGUGUUGCAGCUUUAAUGCAAGGAUGUUGCAGUCACCCCGUGACACAAAUGUCGAUUGCUUGGACAAUUGUCACUUGGAAAAAGAUUUGACUAAUGCAGAUCUACCAAAGUAAGUCAUGGAAAAGCGGUGAUUCUUUCCAACCGCACCUUCAAAAUAAUUCUCAAACUUGCAAUUUGGCAUUGUGAAAUGAGGUAAUUCUUUGUUCUUUGGUUAUGUGAUGAGGUAAAAAAGUUUUUAAAAUAAAAUUGAAGGGUGAGAAAUUAAAAUUACAAUGGUUUAGGACCUAAUUAGACAAACAAACAGUGGAGGGUCUCGUGGUCUUUAUGGCUAGGAGUGAUAGCUGUUACUUUGAGUCUACUGAUGAAUAAUUAUGCAAAGUUCUUGUGGGCUAAUGUUUUAGUUGAGAAAGUACAAAACAAGGUACAAGUCGAUUUGUUGUGAAACUACUCUUAUUUAACUCAUAUAGUAAGGCUGCUAUUGUUUAAGCUGUAAAAGGAUGAAGAGAAAUGGGACUCAACUUCUACCUGUGUAACAUUUUCAACCAUGAUGUGAUCAAAAGUCGCAUAGUAAAGAUCCUGCCGAGUAAUGCCUUCACUCUCGCUGGUAGAGUUCUCCUCUCCCGUUCCCAUGGGAGCUCAUCCCCAAAUCCUACUGUUUUGGUCUCUUCGACAGCCAUUUGUUUGGGAAAAACCCUAUCUCCCAAUCCUAUGGGAGUCUUUAACACCAAGCCCCAAACCAUCAAGUCCAUUUGCAACCCCGGUAGUCAGCAUUUCUUCCCCGAUACCACUUCUUCCAUCACAAAACCCUAAAUACCCGAGCCCUCAGGUUGUCACCGAUUGCCGAGUUUCUUCCCCAAUCACUAUGGACGACCACCUCGCAAAUCCAACCUCAAUCCAGAUUACGUACCAUCCUCAACCCCAAGGUAGGCGACCACCACAUUGAAUCUGUACCCCAUACCUAAAAUCGUCGAAGCUCCCUUCAAUCGCACAUCCCCCAAAACUACAACCCUCAACCGAGAGCAAGGAAGUAUAGUCGGGUGCCGUAAUGGAAGACCCGGAGGAGAAUCAACGCCGUCUUGCUGCCUUGUGCAAAAGUUUAGGCCAUUUAUGGUCAGAAAGUGAUGUGGUGGAAGUGCAACAGGAAAUUCCUCUCAACAAACGAAUCGAAUGCAAUCACACGCUUUUCGGUAAGCUAUAUUCGAAACCCAAUGUUAAUUUUCCAGCAUUUAGCACUACUAUGAAGAAGGCGUGGAAAGCAGAGGCAGUAGUGUGCUCCCAGAAGGAACCGGGACUCUUUUCUUUUGUUUUUGAUUCAGAGGAAGAUAAAGAAAGAGUUCUGAAAUCAGGACCGUGGUCCUUUGCUAGCAACCUCCUAGUACUAAAGCAAUGUGAGCCAAAAAUCCCCGAACACUGCUAUGAUUAUUCUAGAUAUGACUUCUGGGUUCAUAUUGUUGGUCUUCCCUCGGGGUGGAUCAUAGAAGAAGUAUUUGCAGAUGUAGCUGCUAAAGUAGGUGUAGAGGCAAGAGGAAAUAGCCCCUACAAAACCGGUAAAGUCAAAGUGGAGAUGGAGCUUUCAGCCCCUCUCAAAUCAGGGGCAGUAGUAAAGAUCGGGAACAAAAAUCUAUGGGUGAAGUUCAAAUACGAACGUCUUCCUCACUUUUGCUACUCGUGUGGUCGAAUUGGUCACUACGCAUCAUACUGCGAGGAGAUACCAUAUGAAACAACUAAUUGGGCAGCUAACAAGGCGGGUAAGUAUGGUCCUUGGCUCAAAGCAGAAGUUCGAGAUCAUAGUCCACACUAGGCAGCAUUUUAUGGCAAAACAUAUCCAACUCAGGAAGAAGAAGAAUCAGUCCUUGAAACUCCCUUAAUGACAGUUAACAUGGAAGCGGUUGCCACUAUUGAACCUGAGACAAACAUCAACCCUCAGAAUAAAAAAAGAGUCGUUAGUCCUUCUUCAAAGGAGGGCAGGGAGGGAGGAGAGACACCUGCCGCAGCUAACGAGGGGAGCGUAACACAAAGAUUGUAUCUUGAAGGCCCUUAAGAAGUAGGAUCAAAGCUUAUAGGCGGUGAUGGAAAGAAAAGUCAGAAGUCUCAACAAGCUAAAAAACAUAAAAGAGCAUAAUCUACUAGCUCUUAUCUCCUUGAUGACUUGGAACUGUUAGAGACCCCUGUUCGGCUAGUAAAAGAGGGGAAGGAUUGGGCUUUGGUGGCUAGCCCUAAUAAGCCACCAAAAACACCAUGAGGAUUAUAAGUUGGAACUAUCAGAGGCUGGGCAAUCCCCUGACGGUUCAAGAACUUAGAGCCUUAAAGGCUCAAGAAUGGCCCAACAUGGUCUUUUUUAUGGAGACCAAAAACAAAGUGACGAUGAUAAAUAAAAUCAGAAGAAAACUCAACUUUCAGCACAUGUUUAUAAAGCCACCAAUUGGUAUUGCCGGUGGAUUGGUGCUUAUGUGGAACGACGAGGCGGAUGUUAAAAUAAACUCGAGCUCUAAAGAGUAUAUGGACAUAGAAUGCAAGGAUCCUUCCAGUGGCAAUAUGAUGAGAGUUACGUUCAUACAUGCAUCUACCAACUUUAUAGAGCGGCUGCACUUAUGGGAAAAGAUUCGAGACUUGCAUCCUACUAAUCAACUUCCGUGGCUCUGUAUGGGGGACUUUAAUGAAAUCCUAUAUACCUAGGAGAAGGUUGGGAAGAGGGAAGCUGACCAACACCGGAUUGCUACCUUCCGGGAAAUGCUAAAUGAUUGCUCCUUAAUGGAUAUUGACACAAAAGACUAUGCAUUUACUUAGGCCAACAAUAGAGUCGGUGAAAAUCUAGUGAAGAAGAGGCUGGAUAGAGCCUUAUGCACAAUGGAGUGGACAAUUUCUUUCCCUAAUGCUGAAGUGGUGGCCCCUCCAGUAGUUGGUUCAGAUCACAGCCCAUUAGUGUCAUCCCUACAUCCUGUUAGAGAAAGAAGAAGAAAGGAAUUCAAGUUUGAAGCCUACUGGAUGGAGGAGGAAGAGUGUGGGGAGAUUAUCAAAAGUUGUUGGGAAGAUGAUCGGCACCAGCAGAGAACUUUGGCUCAAAAAUUACAGCAGGUGACAAAGAAAUUGACAAAAUGGAGCAAAACUAAGUUCUCUAAUGCAGUUGUCCAAAUCAGAAAUCUCAAAACACAACUUACUGAUCUCACAAAUGGGGAUUCAGAAUUUUCAAGCCAAAUGACAUGUUGUUGGAGAAAUCUUUCCAGAAUAUUUUGAAGCUGACAAAACAUUUCUAUCAGUCUAAGUCUGGAUAUCGAUAGUUAAAGUCUCAAGAAUUUAUAGUCUCAAGACUUUGUUAUCUCAAGACUCAAGACUCAAGACUCAAAAUUAUUCUCACUGACAGUCUUUCUAAUCCAGUGUUGAAGAAAAUCCAAAGUCGAGGUUUAUGGUUGAAGAUUUGAUUCUAUCCUCUGGAAUAGAUUCUUUGGUUGGAUAAUCAUUUCGGAUUCUUUAAUUCUUAUCUAAGAUCAAUUGAAGAUCCGAUGGUCGACGAAAUAAUCUUGGAUUAUUCUAUUCUUGGAAACCGAGAUCCUGAUUGUGUGGGCGAACAGGAUUGAUGGGCUAUCAUCAGAUUCCUUAAAUAGCUCGGAUGAUCUUCUUGAUUGAUUCCGUCCAACGGGUAGAUUGGAGGAAUUCCUUUGGUAAGUGCCAACGGCUAUGAUGGCAUGAAGGAGUAUAAAAGGAAGAUGUUCUAGUUGUUUUAAGUGUGUGAUCGAUAGAAAAAUUCCAGAGUCUGAAGAUCCUUGAUUGUUAGUCGAGACUGAGCGAAAUUGUACACAGAGAGUGUUUGUACUUGGUAACGCCUUGAGCGAGUGUGGUAGAUCAUCUACACCUAGAAAUCAAGGAAGAUCAACACUGUAACAACUCUUUGAUCAUAGUGGAAUCCAGCCAAUCGGCUGUCAGUGCAGAAGAGUGGACGUAGGCUUGAAUCAAGCCGAACCACUAUAAACUGAGUGUUCAAUUCUCUCUUUCCCUUACUCAGUCUUGCGAUUGAAUUUUUAACUGUUGCAAAUUCUUUAAUUGUUUAAAUAUCGUGCAAGCUUCGAGAAAUUUUUUAUAUACCUAUUCACCCCCCCUCUAGGUACUCGUACUAGCUAUUUCACAUGUCAAGAGAUAAAAGGAAAAAUCGAGAGGCUUUGGCGCAGGGAGGAGAUGUAUUGGGCCUGAGAUCACGUAUCAACUGGAUGCGGUGGGGAGAUAGGAACUCAAAAUACUUCCACACAACUACACUUCAAAGAAGACAAAGAAAUAGAAUUUCUAUGCUGCGCAUCAAUGACGACACUUGGUGCCAAGACCAAAACAUGCUGAAACAUCACAUAAAGGACUUCUACUACUCCUUAUAUGCAUCAGAGGGUCAAAGAAACUUUCAACCUAUUAUGGACAUGUGCCCAACUGUCAUAAACAUGCAAAUGAACGAGAAUCUCUUGGCCCCUAUAUCUAUGGAAGAGGUUAAAGAGGCGGUUUUUCAGCUUGGCUCACAGAAAGCUCUUGGCCUAGAUGGGAUGAAUGGCCAAUUUUAUCAACACUACUAGGAGGAUAUCAAGAUGGAUGUGUUGCAUAUGGUCAGAAAGUUUGUGGCAUUAGGUGAGUUCGACCCUCUACUCAACAAGACCCACAUAACCCUUAUUCCCAAAGUUAAAACCAGAAAGUAUUUCUCAAUUCAGGCCAAUCAAUCUAUGCAAUUUCAGCUACAAAAUUAUCUCCAAAGUGCUAGCAAACAUAUUGAAACCAUGGCUUCAAGAGAUAAUAGCACAUGAACAAAGUGCUUUUGUAAAGGGCAGACAAAUACAAGAUAACAUCUUUAUAGUUCAAGAGGUGUUGCACCAGCUGAGAAUCAAAGAACGAAAAAAGAAAUUCCAGGCAGUCCUUAAACUAGAUAUGAAAAAGGCCUAUGAUCAGGUUGAGUGGGAUUUCUUAAAAAGGUGUAUGUUGAAGAUGAGAUUUAGUCCAAAAUGGGUUGAGCUGAUUAUGACAUGCGUCUCCACUGUGUCCUUUAGCAUAAAAAUUAAUGGUGAUCAAACUGAGUAUUUUAAGCCCUCAAGGAGAUUAAGACAAGGAGACCCAUUGUCACCCUAUCUCUUCAUAUUGAUGGCUAAUGUCUUUUCUUGGAUGAUGCACAAAGCAAUAGAAGAUGGAAGCCUUAGAGGAAUAAAACUCAACAGGUAUUGUCCCACAUUAUCUCAUCUAUUAUUUGCUGAUGAUGCCAUUAUUUUUAUGGAUGGAACAAUUGGCGAAUGCCAAAAUCUAGCCAAUAUCCUCAGCCAGUAUUGCUAUGCCACUUGUCAAGUAAUUAAUCUCAACAAAUCUGGAGUGUUUUUUAGUAAGGGCUGUCCAUUGACCUUAAAGAGAAAUAUGGCCUAUGAGUUACAUGUGCCAUUAUGGACAAAAUAGGAAAAUACCUGGGAAUUCCAUCUGAUUGGGGACAAACAAGAAAGGAUAUGUUUUCAUGGAUCCUUACUAGGGUGAAUAUGAAGCUGGAAGGUUGGAAAGAAAAGCUCUUAUCUAAAGUUGGUAAGGAAACAUUGAUCAAAGCCGUUGUACAAGAACUCCCUCAAUAUGCUAUGUCCAUUUUCAAACUCCCAAUCUCAAUAUGCAAAGCCAUUGAACAAUGGAUAGCAGCUUUUUGGUGGAAAUAUAAUGAGUCUAGGAGAGGAAUACACUGGAAAAAAUGGGAAAUCUUGAAACGCAAAAAAGAUGAAGGGGGCCUUGGUUUUAAAGACCUAAUUAAUUUUAACAAUGCGAUGUUAGCCAAACAAGCAUGGAGACUAGCACAGUCACCCUCAACUCUAUGGAGCAACAUUCUAAGAGGAUUAUACUAUCCAAACGGUGACUUAUGGAAGGCAAAAACAGGAUAGAGACCAUCUUGAGGUUGGUGCAGCAUACUUAUCGGUCGAGAUACCAUCGAACCGGAGGUGAAGUGGAUAGUGAAAGAUGGACAAAGUAUUAACAUAUGGAGAGAUAGAUGGCUUCCAAGGGGAGUGAUCGGAGGCCCAGUGAAUAGAAACGGUCUGGAGAAAGUCGCUGAACUAAUCAACAGUGAAAGCAGGUUAUGCGAGGAACUUAAAAUUCAAGCGCUCUUUGAUGAACAAGUAGGAAAUUCUAUCUACUCCAAUCAGCAUCCAGUCACAGCAAGACGGGCUAAUUUGGACGGGAAACCAAUCAAGUACGUACUCGAUAAAAAGUGGCUAUAACAGAGUAUGUUCAAAGCUGAUAACCCUGACCUAAACAAAGCCACUACCUCCUAUCAGCCGCCUCAAUCCUUAUGGAAUCGAUUAUGGGACACUCCAAUCCCCCCCUAAAAUCAAAUUCUUUUUGUGGAGCAUAUGCCAAAAUGCACUCCCGACAAAAGAAAACCUCUAUAAAAGGCGAAUAUUACCCGAUCCCCUGUACCCGCUCUGCCUCCAGCAUCCAGAAACAACAGAACACCUAUUCUUCCUAUGCAAAAAAACGCGGCACAUAUGGAGCGAACCACGCCUUAACCUGUACACAGCCACCAGAUCAGUAACUCGUAUAGAUAAGUGGUUUGCUGAAUUUUUCGAUGCAAAAAUAGAGCUACCUUCAGUAGCUAUGGUGGCCCACUCGAUGUGGCUGAUAUGGAAGCUCCGCAAUGACAACAUCUUCAGAUUUCGGCCCCCCAAAACCGACUCACUAGUAGAUCUUGCCCUCGUCCAGGUUAGGGCUUUCUCCAGAUGGAUCCAGAGUAAAAAAAAGACGAAAACCAGCAAAUCUGACUUGCCCGAGGUCUGGAAGGCACCAGAUAAUUGCAGACUCAAGCUUAAUGUGGACUGCUCGUGGAAGAAAGAAGAUGAGAAAAGCUCAGUAGCAGGGCUCGUUCGUGACUCGAACGGCUUGUUGAUUGAUGGCUUCGCAGCUGAAAUCCGAGCAGAAUCUUCUCUACACGCCGAAGCCCUAGCGCUUCUUCACGGAACACGCUUUCUGCACCAGCGAACAGAAAGUAAAGGGGAAGCCAUGACUGUCUGUUGAUCCGUGAUGGUAUGUGAACGUCUCACGACUAAUUCUUAUGAUCGAAUAACAUUUCUAUAGUCGAAUACUCUAUAAUUGAACCUUUGGUUACCGAUCCUGAAUGGCCAAUUGACUCAUGACCGGCCUUCGGGCCGGCUCAUGGCCAAGUCUCGCCCUUGAUGUACCGGGCUUUGGCCUACUAGUCGAGGCCAAAAUAGGGAAUGAAGACCUUGACUUCGAUGGAAUUGCCAAGUUAAGGACAGUACAAUGAACUGUUCUUUGUCUUGACUGAUUUGGUAGACUAGAAAUGAUCCUCCUAACAACAUAUUGGUAUGCAUGACGAAAACUCAAACUCAUUGAUACUCUAUAUUACUAGAAUUAUAUCAUUUGCAACUCUGAUUGAGGAACAUCCUUGUAAGUAAACGUUGAUGCUCAACCAUUAGUAAUUGUAAAAAAGUUGUUGGUAAAAAAUAAGUAAAUAAAGGCUAGUAAGUUUUUACGUAACUUGCCAGCACUUUUAAGAAAUUAUUGACUUGGUUUGUAGGUUGCGAAAUACUAAUAUUGUAUUACUUUACCAAUUUUUUGAUCUACCUGGAUUGAUUUUUUACUUUUUCUCUUUAAUAAAAUAGUCUAAAUCUUGCACCUCAACAUAUUGCCUGUUUAAAUUCAAAACCCUUAGAACUUUCAUGACACCCAAAUGUUGACAUGUAGAAUCAAUACAUAAUUUUUAAAAAAUCUUCAAAUUUGAACAAUAUUUUAAAUUUUUGGCGGGAACGUAAAAUAAUAUAUAUAAACAGGUCCUUUAGUUGCAUAACCUACGAACACUUUGAACUGUCUUUACAUAUAAUUUCUUUUGGAGCAAGCGGAUCAUUACUGAUGUAAAGGGGGAGCUUUAGGUAAGCAAUCCAAUUAAGGUUGGUGAUUUCUAAAAAUAUUUGUAAAUUUAAUAGGUUGAUAAGUAAGGUAAAUAGAAAUUUGUAACUCAGUAGUUAAAUUGGUAAAUUCUUUAAAAAAAGAUUAAAUAAAUGCAGGUAAACAACUUAAAUGAGAUUUAGUAAAUUAAAUUGGUAAUCCAAUGGGUGAAAAUGGUAAGUUACACAAAUAAAAUUGGUAACUUUAUGUAAGACUUGAUAAUUAUAAGGCGUUUUUAAGAAAGACAAAUAAUAGUUGGUAAACAAUAACAUAAAUUCAAAUGAGAGUUAGUAAUCCAAGACUAGUUUGUAAUUUAAUCAGAAUUAAUUGAUGGGUCACUUAAAUUAAAAUUGAUGAAUUCAUAUAGGAAUUGAAAGGUUAAAAGAAUUAGCAAGAAAGGCAAAUAAAAUUUAGUUAAAUGUAAGAAAUGUUGAUGAGUUGAUAAAAGUGUCGAAAAUUACCAACAAAGUCAUUGGGAAAUUACGUGACCAAUGACUGUCAACAGUUUUUUUGACACUUGACAACUCUUUCGUAUACUGACUAAAGGACAGGAAAGAAUUGUUCUAUUGGGAACGAAACAAUGAAAUAGUCCUUCUAAAUUCCGAGUAGUACGUGUUGUCAAGUAAUGUCUUCUCUUGCGUGCAGAUCAGCAUGAUCAUGAACGAAGCGCUCCGAUUAUGUCCUCCUUGGAUUGGGUUUACUCGAAAAGUCGACUAGGAACUUAGGCUAGGGAAACUUGUUCUUCCUCCUAACAUUCAAGUUUACGUAGCUAAGCUCAAGCUUCAGCACAACCCUGAAAUCUGAGGAGAAGUUGUGCACCUCUUCAGACCAGACCGAUUCUCGGAAGGCAUCCUUAAAGCUACUAACAACAACUCAAUCGCGUUCCUUCCCUUUGGUUUCGGGCCUCGAAUGGGUGUGGGGAUGAACUUCGUGAUGAACGAGGUGAAAAUCGUCUUUUCGAUGAUUCUGCAGCGCUACGCUUUCAAACUGUCUCCUGGGUACAUCCACAGUCCAGUUGAAAUCGUCACGACUUGCCCUCUGCACGGACUUCAAGUUGUAUUUCAUCCCCCGUAGAUUGUUAAUCAGCAUAUAUGUCCCAGUUAAUGCUGAGAUAACAACGUACAGAGACUACUUUUAAUGCCUUUGUGAGCUUGUGGGUUCUAGUUUCAUGAAAAACCUAUUGAAGUUUUAUUUUAAUUCAAAGAUGUGUUCUAGGUCACAAUUGGGUCGGAUUGACCUACGUUUAACUUAACGGAUUAGAUGAGCUGUGUUUUGGAUCAGGUACUAUUCAUUAGAUGUCCGGUCCAAGUUUCUUGUAAUAUAAUUAUCUAAUGGACCGUGUACAAUUGACCAAUUUAUGUUUUGAUCCUAAUGGAUCUAACGAGCGGUCGAGUCAUUCAUCAAGUUCUAUCAGAUUCGUGGUUCGAUCCCCCUGAGGUACCCUCCUGAUUUGACCGACUAUGCCGCGGCUAGGCUACCUUUAUAUGGGUGUGGUGAUAAAGCAACGGAAACAGAAGGCCAAAUUUGUUUUUGGAUCUGCCAUUAAAGAUUGUGUGGGUUAGGACUUUUCGAACUAAGCAAGAAAAAGAUGAAAGCGAGUGAUACAUGGUCUUGGUGUUUCCUCGUCACGUCCGAUGUCAUCCCCGUGCUCACGAUUGUGUCCUUUAUACGUUGGCCCUUGAAUUUUUCAUUGAUCUAUGUCGCGUCUUGUAAGCGAGAUUAUUUGCUAAGAAACAGUUCCGGUGUCGAGAAGACGGCCAAGACAGCUUGUGUCAUGUAACGCUGGUCAUAUGAGAAAACGAAUCGAGACCCGUGUCUCUAAUUGAAAAGUUCGACGAAUUCUCUAUUCAUCGAAUUCUCAGUAAGGUUUGGCUUUGGAAAGGGCUUUUCGACAGAUUGCGCACAUUCGAGGCCCCAACCUGUCGUGGGCUUGGAGGAGAACCGGGUGCGUGCACAACUUGUUCAUCACGAUUUGGAUUGAUUUUGAUAUUUCCAGAUCGGCAAGGAAGUCACGGAUGACGUUAAUCAGUUCGUCCCUAUCGUACGUUUCCUCUGAAAUGGAGCCAAAAUGCCAAAGGUGGACCGACAGAACUUUCCCGACAUUUUGCCAACAAAGGUUGUUUAAUCUUGAUCGUGGCGCCGGCCGGCUCAUAGAAUAUUUCGAAAGACACAAUAAAUACCUAAAUCAAUCGAACAUUUUCAUUUCAUAAGAGAAACCCAGUAUCAUAAUUUUCACUGUUUUCAUUCUCUUUAUCGUUUGAUCCCCUUAUUAUACCAUGCAAUCGGUCAUCUUCCUGAGCUCUCUGUUUCUGUUUCUUCUCUGGUCUCUUGCCAAGCUCUUGCACAAGCUAUGGUGGAACCCGCUCAGGAUACAGAGGAUGAUGGCCCAACAGGGGAUCUCUGGCCCUCCUUACAGGUUCCUCCAUGGAAGCACCAAGGAAACAAUCAAGAUGAAGAUGAAAAUCAGGAACACGCCCAUGAACAAUCUCUCUCACGACAUAUUCCCUAAGAUUCAGCCUCAAGUCAACACAUGGAUAGACACAUACGGUAAUUACCGGAAUACUAAACUUAAGUUUCAUUAGUGUCAUGACGCUAUGAUAUUAAACUUAGGUGCAACUUUGUAGGGAGGAAUUACCUGAAUUGGCACGGACCUCAAGCUCAACUGGUCAUCACAGAGCCAGAUCUUAUUAAGGAGGUGCUGCUUAACAGAGAGAAAACAUACCCAAAAACAGGAACUAAGGACUUUGCCAAGAAGCUUCUAGGAGAUGGGCUCGUGAGUACAAACGAUGGCAAGAAAUGGGCGAACCAGCGUAAACUCGCCAAUCACGCUUUCCAUGGGGAAAGUUUGAAGGUAGUUGAACUCAAUCGCAAAAGAGAAUUGUCUGAUUUGAGGUUUUACUAAUUAUUUUGGGGGGAUUAAAAUUGCAGAAUAUGGCACCGGCAAUGGUGGAGAGUGUUCACACUAUGCUAGGAAAAUGGAAGAAUCAAGAAGGGAAAGAGAUCGAGGUGUUCGGAGAGUUUAAGUUAUUGACAUCCGAAGUGAUUUCAAGAACUGCGUUCGGGAGCAGCUAUGUUGAGGGGAGGAACAUUUUUCAGAUGUUGACAGGAUUGGUUACGUUAACAUCCAAAAAUGCUUUCAAUAUAAGGUUACCGGGAAUAAGGUAUUGCACAUUUUUUCUAGGAAAAUUUUGUUUUGACCAUUUUUACGAUGAAGAAACUAGAAAAUACAGUGAUUAUCACUUUUAGAACGAACUUUAGACAUCUGAACUUGAUUAUUCUGACAAGUUUUCCAGGUGAGUAAAUGCAUUCGAAGGAGGCACACCGUUUUUGGAUAACCAUUCUUUAUCACUAAAAUUACUGAUGUGAGAUCACACUUAGCAAGCUGCUAAUUUCUAACGAUGGUCGGGCAACAGUUUUGUUCAUUGUGCAAAUGCAAACUUCAAGCCUCAAAAGACUUAGGAUAUUUCACGUCUCAGAACCAGAGUUUUAAUUAGGCCUAACUAAUUAUGGAAUUUGUUCUGAAUCCUGCUGGCAGAAAGCUUUGGAAGACAGCGGAUGAAGUCGAAGCGGAGAAACUUGAGAAAGGCAUACGCAAUUCCAUCUUACAGAUGAUCAAGAGAAGAGAGAAGAAGGUGAUGGCCGGUGAAGAAGAUGGCUUUGGGGAUGAUUUCCUAGGACAACUUGUGAAGGCUUUGCACGAUACGGACAAGAGCAAAAAAUUCACAGUAGAUAAUUUGGUGGAUGAGUGUAAGACAUUCUACAUCGCCGGACAAGAAACUGCCAACUCAAUGAUGACAUGGAUGUUAUUCCUCCUAGCGACUAAUCUAGAAUGGCAAGAGGAAGCAAGAAGGGAGGUUCUCAAUGUAUUUGGGAAUAGAGACCCUGAUUCCGAUGGACUAGGAAAGCUUAAGAAGGUAUAGAAAACAACUCAAGUCUCGAUCCCGGUCAACCUUUUUCGAUUCACUCAAAUUGUAGGUUAGACAUGAUGACUAACUAAACAUUUUCCCUUUUUCAUGUGCAGAUUAGCAUGAUCAUGAACGAAACUCUGCGUUUGUACCCCCCUGUUGUCGGCUUGACUCGAAAAGUUGGCAAGAAACUGAGGUUAGGGAGGCUUGUUCUUCCUGCUAAAAGUCAGAUCUUUAUACCGACCCUUAAGCUUCACCAUGACCCUAAAAUCUGGGGGGAAGAUGCACAUGAGUUCAAGCCGGAGCGAUUCUCAGAAGGCAUAGCUAAGGCUACCAACAACAAUGCGGUCGUGUUCAUCCCCUUCGGCUUCGGACCUCGAUCUUGUGUCGGGAUGAGCUUUGUGGCGGCAGAAGCGAAAAUCCUCCUUUCGAUGAUCCUCCAGCGCUACACCUUCGAGCUGUCCCCGACGUAUAUCCACUGCCCAGGUCAGCUCCUGACAACCCGCCCUCAACAUGGACUUCAAAUCAGGUUUCAUCCUCUACAACAGUAGUUCAUCACCGCAUGAUGUUUAGUCGCCAAUGUGCAUGGAUGCCUCCAUGGAUCCAUGCAACAAUGGCCUGUGAAUUCUUGGUUCCAGAGGUAUGUGAUAUUUGUAGGUAUCAAGUUGUCUUUUCUUUUAAUUUCAGAAGCACUAUUCCUAUUGUGUAGAGUAUAUGGAUUUGGCAAGAAUUCUUCACUGUGUACAUCUUGUGCUCUGGUUCUCGUANNNNNNNNNNNNNNNNNNNNNNNNNNNNNNNNNNNNNNNNNNNNNNNNNNNNNNNNNNNNNNNNNNNNNNNNNNNNNNNNNNNNNNNNNNNNNNNNNNNNCCAAAUAAAUGCAACAUUCUGGAAGUACAGCUAAUGCGUAUACUGGACUAAGGCAAAGAAUGAAUGUCUAAUGACCAAUGUUUGGAUGACAAGAAUUAUCAAAAUCAGUCGACUUAUUUGACCUAAUCUACAAAUCAUAUAAACCAAGUUCAUUUCAAGUUUCAACUAUUGAUCACUUUGGGCUCAAUGAUGAAACCGUGUAACUAAUGGUUAAGAUGAGAUCGAUAUACCUGAUCUACAGACUAUGACAGCGUUUGCAGCUAGUCCCUCGUUCACCUCCAUCGUCUCUGGUCCCGAGCUCCAUCCAUUCGCUGCACGACCAUUCAUUGAAAUGCUUGGAGGUUUCUACUCUUUCUGGGCGAAACGAGCAUCCAUUCGCUAUACCCACCAUCGACCUCUGGUUUCCUAGUAUUUGAAACUUGUUUCUGGUUGGGGCUCUGUACUGUCUGACAGCUCUCAAUGGUUGAAUUUCCACCAGCAGCAUUGCGGUCGGAGGUGCAUCCGGUCGAACCGUCCUCCCUCGCUUGAAGCUCCGGCCAAUGAUCCUUCCUACGUCCCACAGCCCCACAAUUGAACGGGGACUCAACACCUUCACAAGGCUGCUGAAAACUCUGCACAGGUCAUCUUUACUUCGAAAACGAACCUCAAAAGAAAUGCCCAAAAUCGAUGCGCACUCCAUUAAUCGACAGCAGCUCCUGGGUUUGUGAAGUCUUUUCAAAUGAAUUGCCAUUCGAUCCUUCGUGUCAAGCAUUUCCACGGCUUCUCCUGGCGGUGGAUCCUUUAAAUGAGGAAAAUCGCUAAUUUUUUGAGAUACUUUGUGUUAUAUCUCUUUGUCCAAAAGCACAAAAAAAUUCGAACCUUUUAUGAACCCACAUUGCAAUUUUCAAGAAAUGUUGAAUAAUAAACAUCUUAAGAUUAUACUUAUAUUAAACCAUUCACUGCCAUGUUGUCAUGAACAAAUUCUAGGUUGAACUCACCGAUUAAAGCUAGGUGUGUUUGGGAAUACUUCCCAAAUGCUCCUUGGGCCUCCAAAGCCUGUUGGCUAAAUGCAAGAACCACAUAAUUGUAUUUCCAAAGGCCCCAGCCUAAGGCAGAUCCAAAUGUACCAUGGAAUUUUGGCAUUCUCGAAAUACAUAUCUUGAAUUUAAUAACUAUUUUAUUCCACUUUUGGACAGUUCAUUUUCCCCACGGUUUGCACAGAGGGGUUAGAUGGAGGUGAAUAAACUCUAUGUUUAAAUAUGUCUCGAAUUUAAAUUCAAAGCAAAAUGCCGAUUUCCAGAAAUAAUAAUAUUAAUACUGAAAAAGGACUUCUUGCUAACAAGAAAAGCUGAAAAAGGGAGAUUUACGCAAAUCUAAGUUUCCUGUUCAGCAUUGAAGUCAAACAUGAUAUUAGACUUUGAUCACGAAAAAAGAGGAUGAAGAAUGAGUCGGAGUUGCAGGAGGAAACAAACAUUCUUUCCUGAUCCACAUGGGAGGCACUUUCAAGAUUUGGAAAGUCCACUGUGGACUUGAAGAACAUACAUUUGACCAUACAUAGAGAAGAAGGCACGCUAUUAGAUAUUUCUUGAAGCACUGCUGCUUUUGUGUGAGAGCUUGUUGUGGUUGUUGAUGUACAGAGGACUUCAUCGUGGGGUUUCAAAAUUCAAAUAAUUACAUCCGGAUGCUAGUAUUGAAGCCAACUAAAAUUUUGUGGUAGGAACACUGAGAAUGUCAAGUUAUUUGAGUAUGAUUAUAAUCUCUUUUGUAUCGUUCGAUCUAUAAUGAAAUUCAUUGCUGCUCUCCUCAUAGACAUAUGAAUAACAUAAAUCAUGUAUUGAUUUUUUUUUUAUCAAUUUUAUUGUUCGAUUGCUUGCUUUUGCGGAUUAUUUGAGUUGAAGUGAAUCGAUGAUGACGGAAGAAGGAAAAGUGAGAAUCUACAAAUUUGAUGGAAAUGAUUUUCAUUUCUAGAAGAUAUAGAUUGAGGAUUAUCUCUACCAAAUAAAAUUGCACUUGCCCCUAUUAGGGGAGAAGCUAGAGAUGAUGAAACAAACUGAUUAGGAAUUGCUAGAUAAACAAGCUUCGGGCAUUAUUCGGCUUACGUUGGCCUGUAACAUUGUGUUCAACACCAUGAAAGAGAAUACCAUUACGAGUUUAAUGAAAUCCUUGUCGGAUAUGUAUGAAAAGCCCUUUGUGAUCAAUAAGGUUUACUUGAUACAAUGUCUAUUUAACUUGAAGAUGAGCGAAGGUGCAUAGUUGCACAUCAUAUCAAUAAAUUCAAUGUGAUUAUUAGUUAAUUCAGUUAAGUUAAGAUUGACUUUGAAAAUGAAGUAUGUGUUUUGAUUCUAUUAUCUUCAUUACUUGAUAGUUGGAAUAUCACUGUUAUUGCUAUUUGUAAUUCUUUUGGGUCAACAAGCUUAACAUUUCAUGAGGUUAGAGAUUCAAUUCUAGAGAUAACGCAUAAAAUGCUCUCUAGUGCUAGUAUGAUUAAGAGAUUCCUAGCGGAUGUAGUUAGUACGACGAGCUACUUGAUGAAUAGAUUCCCAUCAAUUAUAAUUGAAUGUUUGACUCCCAAAGAAGUGUAGUUAGGUAACGUUGUCAAUUAUUCUAUUUUAAAAAUAUUUGGUUGCUCAUGUUAUGCUCGAGUGAGUGAUGGUACGCUCGAUGAGAGGGUAAGAAAGUGCAUAUUCCUAAAUUAUGCACAAUGUGAGCGAGGCUAUUGGUUGUGGUGUCCAGAAUUAGAGUCACCUAGUAGAGAAGUUACAUUUAACGAGUCUCCAAUACUUCUAGCUAAGACUGAUUAUAAUAGUUUUUAUACGGACUUGAGAUGGAGUUGCAACCAGAAACUCCUAAGGCAAUGGAUACUAGCGAAGUAAUCAAUAUAAGAUGCUUAUAGUGAGGUGGAGCAUAUAGAGCCAGUGGUUGUUCCAACUACUAAUAUUAACAAGGUAUGUAUUUGGUCUCCUAAUAGGUAUAGAGGCAAUAAUGGUUUUGCUUUAUUUAUGGUUGAGGAGGUUGAGUUGAAAAAUCCUUGCAAAGUAGUUUAAGCGUGUGUGUGGAGUUGGUGUUCUAACGAGAUCCUCAAUUAUAGCGAAAUUCAAGUGAGGCUUGAAACUUAGAAAAUAUUUGCGACAUUUGAGCCCAUUGGGGGUUGUAGGAGAGUAGCAGCAGAGUUAGAUUUUUUAACCAAAUAAUUGUAACUUGACUCAAAUAUCAAGCCAAAGUGGAGAUUAUUGAAAUAUGUCUUGAGUUUAAACCUGAAGCAAAAAUUUGAAUUUUAGAAAUAAUAAUAUUAAUAAUGAAAAAGGACUUUGUGCUCGUGCAAAAGUUGCUACCAAGUAAAGCCGAAAAAGGGAGAUAUACACAAAUCUGAGUUUCCUGUUUAGAGUUGGUGUCAAACGUGAUAUUAGACUUUGAUCAUAAAAAACAAAGAAGUUAAGAUUGGAGUCCAAGUUACAAAGAGGAAACAAAUAUUCUUUCUUAAUCCACAUGGGAAUCACUUUCAAGAAUUGGAAAGUCAAUUGUGGACCUAAAGACCAUAUAUUCAGCCAUCCGUGGAGAAAAAGGCACGUUGUUAGAGAUUUCUUGAAGCGCCGUCGCUUUUGUGUGAGUGCUUGUUGCAACUAUUGAUGUAUAGAAGACUUCAUUGUGAGGUUUCGAGUGCUUGUUGCAGCUAUUGAUGUAUAGAAGACUUCAUUGUGAGGUUUCAAAAUUCAGAUAAUUACAUAUGGGUGCUAGUGUUGAAACCAAUUAAAUUCUCGUGAUAAGAAUUUAUGUAUAAUUCUUUUGUAGAGCUUCUUUAGCAAGGAAUUAUAGGGUUAAACUCCGUGUAAGUUAUUAAAUGUAAUUAGGACUUGGAAAACACUAACAAUGUUUGAAUUACUCGAGUGUGAUUGUAAUAUUAAUUAUGUCGCUUAAUUUAUAUUGGAAUUUGUUGUUGCUCUCUCUGUGGACAUGGGUUAUUAUGAUCGAACAACUUAAAUCUAAUAUUUGAUCUUAAUUUCUUAUUCAUAUCUAUUUUAUUAUUAUUCAAUCGUUUGCUUUUCUAAGACGUCACCUAGAGGUCGCACUACCUCAACAAUCGACGCCAGGGGGUUGUAUGACCUAGGCAACAAGGCUUGAGGUUGUGAGACCUUAGGCCGCCUUGCCUUGGGUCAUGUGACCUUAGGCAAGACUAUUGGUAGCUAGAUCUAGCUCCCUAGCGGUUGGCUUGUACCAAAUCUAACUUGCCAAUGGCAAGUGUCUGAGAUUUUUUAUUUUAAAACAAAUUGUCAAAAAUCCUUCACAAUGCAUAGUUUUCUUUUCUAAUCGCCAUUUGCAUUAAAAUUGCUUUACAAUGUAUUUUUAAAUUACAUUUUACUAAAUAUUAUUUGCAUUUAAAAAAAAAAAACCUUUGACCUAAUCUCCUUCGCAUUUCUCCAAAGUUUUCCCCCAAAGUGUCUCUAUAAUAGCAUCAAGUAGAGCCUUUUUGUAGCUUAAAUAAGCAUGACACAUAUUUGUGUGUAUAUAAUGGAUGUCACGGAUGGAUAAGUCCCACCUGAAAUGAAGAUCAGGACAAAGCACUUUUGUCCGCUAUCAAGCGCAGAAGAUUCCCACGAUACAAAGACAAAUUCAAAAUCAAUAAAUAAUUUGAAAAUAAAGAAAGAACCAAGAAACUUCGAACUCGAGGCUGAGCGAGGAGUUCAGGAGUUUCGUUGAUUUCACUAACCCAGAAGCUGGUUUCACUCUCCUAUUGUUAUUCAUCGUCCUUUCGGAGCCCAACUCGAUUCUCUGGGAGACGCCAUGAUCGUGCUCUGGACCUCUCUGUUUCUACUUCUCUUCUCAGCUCUCGCCAUCGCUCUCCACAAGCUAUGGUGGACCCCGUAUCGCAUCCAGAGGACGAUGGCCUCACAAGGAAUCAGAGGCCCUCCUUACAAGCUCUUCUAUGGAAACACCCUGGAGAUCCUCC
rnacentral:lncRNA from 1 species